GAUAUGGCGGAGAAAAUAACUGAGGAAAAGUUGAGAAGAAAUCCCAUUGAAAAGGCCAAUCCUCUCAGCCGAUUAUUUUUUUGGUGGACACUGGGGUUAUUUAAAAAAGGAGCACGAAAUGGAAUUACGGCUGAUGAUCUUUAUACUACGUUAGCUUCUGAUAAAUCGGAGACACUGACAGACAAUUUGGAACGGGCAUGGGGUGAUGAGCUAAAGAAAUUGAAGGUCAAUGAAAAUAAUCAGAGUAGUGUCGAUAAUCGUAAAGCGAAAUCACCAAAACCGAGUUUGCUUCGCGCAAUUAUUAAGACAUUUUGGGUUAAAUAUGCGAUUAUUGGAGUAUUUCAAGUUAU